rnacentral:other from 1 species
CGGUUGCUGCGGGGCCCGUCAGGUCCCCAUAUCCCUCCGGCCAAUAGUGGACUCCAGGGAGCUGUCCCUGUCGGACUCAGGGUUCGGUACACGGCACCCACCUGCGUGAGCAGGCCAGAGAGGAUCACUCGACCAACGACUUUCGCGGCGCCGCC